rnacentral:rRNA from 1 species
GCGCUGACGAGUGGCGGACGGGUGAGUAACGCGUAGGAAUCUGCCUUAUAGUGGGGGACAACGUGGGGAAACCCACGCUAAUACCGCAUACGCCCUACGGGGGAAAGGAGGGGAUCUUCGGACCUUGCACUAUUGGAUGAGCCUAUGUCUGAUUAGCUAGUUGGUGGGGUAAAAGCCUACCAAGGCGACGAUCCAUAGCUGGUCUGAGAGGACGAUCAGCCACACUGGAACUGAGACACGGUCCAGACUCC